rnacentral:rRNA from 1 species
UACAGGGGGUGCAAGCGUUACUCGGAAUUACUGGGCGUAAAGCGUGCGUAGGUGGUUCGUUAAGUCUGUCGUGAAAGCCCCGGGCUCAACCUGGGAAUGGCGAUGGAUACUGGCGGGCUAGAGUGCGGUAGAGGGUGGUGGAAUUCCCGGUGUAGCAGUGAAAUGCGUAGAGAUCGGGAGGAACAUCAGUUGCGAAGGCGGCCACCUGGACCAGCACUGACACUGAGGCACGAAAGCGUGGGGAGCAAACAGG